AUGAAUAUCCUGGCCUGGAACUGUCGGGGACUGGGGUUGGACUCGACAGUGGGCGAACUACGAGACCUGAUUAGGUCCCACAACCCAGCGGUGGUGUUCUUAUGCGAAACAAAAAAGAAGGCGAGAGCAAUGGAGAGGCUGAAAUGGAGCUUGGGGUUCACGUCAGGAGUAGCGGUGGACUGCGAGGGCCGUAGUGGCGGUCUGGCUUUAUGGUGGAGAGACCAU
rnacentral:rRNA from 1 species